CAGAUCUAAUUGACAAAGCACAUUAACCUCAUAUUCACACAAUUAUAUAACAUCAUCAACUAAGCAAUAAUCACAUCCAGCAACUAGUUUUCCCUCAUAUAUAACAUCUCAAGCCAUGCAUGCAUCAUUACUUAGUUUCAUAAUAAACGUCGACACACGCUACGCCUACACAUGAGAAACCAGCAGCCUAGAAACACCAUUUUAGAUUCAAAAGCUUAUACAAGAUCUAUUUCUUCCAUAUAACAGAGGUUCUAUGAAAUUCAAAAUUAUCAUCAUCAACAACAACAAUUAUACAACAUACCGUUG
rnacentral:lncRNA from 1 species